CUUCAUGUGCGGCAUCGUGGAUUCGGCAUGAUCAAGGUGGUUCGUGGAUUUGGUUCGUGGAUUUGGAUCGUGGGUUCGAGGAUUCGAGUGGCGUUCGUGGAUUCGGACGUGAGGCGUGGCGUUCGUGGAUUCGAACGUGGGGCGUGGACAACCCGGUGACGUGCGCGAGAUCCGUAGGAGGUUAAGAGAGGUUAAGCCUGUGG
rnacentral:lncRNA from 1 species